UUUCCCUCCCUCACACCCCGACGCUUAUCACUCACUCCCUCCCACAGUCACUUUCACGCUCAACUCUCCCUCUCAGAUUUCUCCCCAAAAACCCAGCCACCUCCGGUCCCUCUCUCCCACCUAUCACCGGCUCCAAGUUUUGAGGCACCAUAAGCAAGCUCCACCCUCCGCCGGCGCUGUCCAUCACCGGCGAAACCCAGUUUCGAUUUCUACUCCUUGCUGGAAAAACACCUCAAAGUUUCAGGUUUUAUUUUUGAUGAAUCAUAAUUUUUACACAUGUUUGAUUUCUUAUCAUUUUUCAUAUGGGUUUUUUGGUGUUGAUUUGGCUGUGUGAGAUUUAUUUAUUUCUUUGAUGAUUUUGACAUUGGUUGUUUGAUAUGAGUUAGGAUUUAUGAUUUUCAGAUCUGGGUUUUGUUUUUGGGGUUUUAUUUAUGUGUGGCAUUAUGAUAUUUGUGUGAUGAAAUUAUUGUAUGCUAGUUUAUGAUUUCCUUUUCUUUUCUUUUUCUCUGGAUUGUUGUUGUCCCUAUUUUGUUUUGUUUUGUUUUUUUUUUUUUUUUUCAGUGUUUCUUUGUGAUAUAUAUAACAUUUUUUUUUGGGGAGCUAAAAACGAUAGAUACUUUGAUUGAUACUAUGGAAUAAUACAAGUAAAAACUGAGUUAAGAGCAAACUCAGCUAGGGGGAACACCAGCCCAACAAAGCGAUAUCCCCAGGAAAAGAGAAAGAAGAAAUUGAAUAAGGCCAAAAGAACAUGAGGUCAGACAACAACUACCCUCUAGCUAUCAGAUUAAACCUGUGCUGCCAUCAUGCUUUGGUAGUUUUCUAAUAAUCACCCUUGGAUGCAGCUGAACCUGUUCAAAAUUGAACUUGUUUCUUGCGUUCCAAAUAGCCCAAGCUUAGUUAAAAUUCAAAGAAGACAAUAAGGAAACUAGGCUUUUGAUUCGUAUUUAAUUAUUUAUAUAAACCUCUGAGUAAUGCAUUUGGGAAGCAUAUUGAUUGUAAUUUCUGGACACUACACAAUAUCUGGCUAAUGUUGCCUUAUAUAUAGAGCUAGAGACUUCAAAUUGUGUGAACUAGCUGAAUAGGAACAUCAUAGGCUUCCAUUGGGCACAAUACCAACAAAUAUUGCUGUUCUUUAAAAUUUUGACGAGCUACACAUUGUGCUGAAGCUAAUUACCUAAGCAGUCUUGAGAUUGACGCUAAAAUUGUCUUGUUGACUUCAUAGAUUAAUGACAUUAACAUUAUAGUUUUGAUUACAUGUUCUUAUUUUAUUUUAUUUUUAAAUGGAGAUUUAAUUUUUUUUCCAUGUUUGAACCCAAAAGGUAUCAAACUUCUAUAAAACCUGUAAUAUAAGUCAGACAAGAAUACAUGCGAAUCAAGAUAUGGGUCAGAAAAAAAGCUAGCUUUGUUGUACUCAUUCUCUAUCAAGCUUAGUUCUGGGUUUUGUCCAGAAAUAUUUUGCAGGUUCUGCUGUAUCUUGGCUGAGAAAUGUGAACCCCUACCUCUUGAUUGGAAGAGUCGAGAUGGGUUGUUGGUUCAGAAUGGAAAAUGUGAGAGGCCCAGGCCACUGACUUGGGGCCUUUAGGAUAAGCUGCUAAAUGUGACAACAAUAAUUGUUAAGCUAAUGUUCUGUUAUGGAGAUAGGAAGUUACUUCAAUUCUUGUAGCAGAUGGUGUGUCAAGUGAGAAGAUAUUAAAGAAAUUCUGACAAACCAGAUAUAGUUCAUAUUGUUGUAUUAUUUUUGAGCAACAGUUAGUGAUUUAUUUGUUCCAACUGCUGAUUAUCAUUUCAGCUCGGUGUAGAAAAUAAAACAUAUUUUGGGAUUUUUCAGCAUCUUAUUGUAUGUGGGAUGAUGGAUGAAUGUAUACUUAUUCUUGAGUUACACAGCAAAGCACUUGCCCAGCUUUAUGAAGACAAUCUAAUCCCAUAUUGCUACU